GAACAUCCUGUUUCGUGACUUCCUUUGAUGACGCCGGCGGAGUGAUGUCAUUGCCGCGCGCCGGUUCAGUGACACCAUCGGAGCUAGAGUGCAUUCGCUCGACCACCAAUGCAGUGAAAUGUUUGGCGAAGUGGUGGAUUGGAUUACCAAACUUCGGCGGCGAGAAAUGCAGUGUUGCUUGUGGCGUUCUAGAUAGUACUUUAUUGAUUCCUUCAAGAGAGUUCCCUCAGUUCCCUCCCUGCUGUCCGGAGGAGGAGUUUGGGGGAACGACGCGUCCUGACGACAAGGCGAAGCCUUUCUGGAUGGCUUCCAUCUUCGCUGGCGCGUCUCCAUCUCCUCGAAGUCAGCUGCGGAAGGACUGGGAGCUGGCUUCAAUCUGUCACGAUCGGGGUCACAGCUCACUGUGAGGUUUGUUCUCCCAGGAUGCAAAACAGACAACUCCGGACGAAAGCGUGAAGCGACACAGACCUGGAUUACACGCCCGCCUUUGAUGGCACGCCAACCAAGAACCAAGUGUUACGGCGCAUGCACGUACCAUCAUUUCCUCCGCAGCAAGCACAGCUAGAAGCACAGCUAGAAGCACAGCUAGAAGCACAGCUAGAAGCUCCGCCGAGAGCGCCUCCGGACACGCUCGUUCCGCUCAGACAGGACAAUCUGGCAAUCUACCAUCAGCGCACCUGGAUCUAAUGAGGCUCGACAGCAUAAAGACCAACGCAGCCGACGAUCCAGUGCUGGAACGUAGUUCUCUGUCUGACAUUUAUCCUCCGUUGCCUUGGAAGUGAACUGUGCGCCUCACUUCCCUGGAUCCCCCUCUGGACUCUGACUGCAUCCUUCGAUCCUCGACCCCCACUUUGGACACGGACCUUAGGACGCCUCUCUUCAACCUCACGGACCUCCCGCUUGGAUCACGGACCUUCUUCUGCCCAGCCCCUUUGGACUCGUUUGCCUUUUCAACCAACACUCACAACAACCUCCUGGUAACAUUACCUUGUUAAUUCCUUUACAUAGUCUUGCAUGCACACACAUAGUAGCAUACAUACUCCAACACCUCAUCAAGCUCAAUAAAUUCCUGUCGAGCAAUACUUCCUGUGCCGUGCCGUCCUCUUCCCCCGCCGUACGUAACAAAGAGGUUUUUUUUUUGUAUUUUUACAAAGUGUUAGUUCAAGUGUCCAUGCACACUCUCUAAUGCAACUUUUGGUCAUACGCAGUGUUCCUCCCGUACACUGGGGGGUGCUUAUUUCCUUUUAGCGCAGUUUUUUCUUUUUUUUUUCGGGUGACCCAUAUGAUGUUGCACUAGGCGCCUGUGGCCUCUGUUGUGAUGUUUGCUGUAAUAUUGACACAGAUCAGAAAUUUUACGUUGCUAAUGGCUAUGCUGAUGUUAAAUAGCAAACAGCAUCAAGAAAUGAUCUUGGAUUGCACUAUGAACAUGACGAUUUUACCAAGAAAGUAUAGUAGCGGAUGCAGGUCCGAAGUAAAGAAAGACUGCUGGCAGAGAGUUUUUUCAAAGGAAUUUUUGGACCGAGAAUCAUGAAAACAAAGCUUUUGAAUGUCUUGGAGUUCAUUCAUAAGGCGGCAAACGCUCUGUGGAUUCAUUGAACAAGUUUUAAAUCCGAAUAAAAAUACAUUUCGUGCCCCGACUGAUACUUAUAUCUUGCCAGUUGUGCGGAAUACAGAGUUAUUGUUAAUCAGUUUAUAAAUGCUGCGUAAAGAGGUUUGUGUAGGCUUUACUAUUCUCCUUGUAAUUUAUAAUACGUGCUUCAUUCUCUUUCAUAUUUCGCUCGGGAGUCAGAGUUAAACCGGCAUUCAGCAUGUCCUUAGUUGCCUUAUUAACUAAAUCUGUGUUUAUUUUUUUCUACCAUCAAUGCAUUUGAAAAUGUUCUGUUCUUUUAACUUGUGAAGCAAAUAAA